ACUCCGGGUCGUCCAUGCGAACUGUGCGGCUGGAGCACUGUAGGGGCAGGUGGAAUUCCGGGUGUAGCGGUGGAAUGCGUAGAGAUCCGGAAGAACACCGGUGGCGAAGGCGGCCUGCUGGGCAGUAGCUGACGCUGAGGCGCGACAGCGUGGGGAGCAAACAGGAUUAGAUACCCUGGUAGUCCACGCCGUAAACGAUGGGCACUAGGUGCUUCGGGGAGCGACCCCCGGGGUGCCGGCGCUAACGCAUUAAGUGCCCCGCCUGGGGAGUACGGCCGCAAGGCUGAAACUCAAAGGAAUUGACGGGGGCCCGCACAAGCGGUGGAGCAUGUGGUUUAAU
rnacentral:sRNA from 1 species